rnacentral:rRNA from 1 species
AUUGAACGCUGGCGGCAUGCCUUACACAUGCAAGUCGAACGGCAGCACGGGUGCUUGCACUUGGUGGCGAGUGGCGAACGGGUGAGUAAUACAUCGGAACAUGUCCUGUAUUGGGGGAUAGCCCGGCGAAAGCCGGAUUAAUACCGCAUACGAUCUACUGAUGAAAGCGGGGGACCUUCUGGCAUCGCGCCUUACGGUUGGUCGGUGGCGGAUUAGCUAGUUGGUGGGGUAAAGGCCUACCAAGGCGACGAUGAGUAGAUGAUCUGAGAGGAUGACCAGCCACACUGGAACUGAGACACGGUCCAGACUCCUACGGGAGGCAGCAGUAGGGAAUCUUCCGCAAUGGGCGAAAGCCUGACGGAGCAACGCCGCGUGAGUGAUGAAGGUCUUCGGAUCGUAAAACUCUGUUAUUAGGGAAGAACAUAUGUGUAAGUAACUGUGCACAGCUUGACGGUACCUAAUCAGAAAGCCACGGCUAACUACGUG